AAGGUUGUAAGCAAUGUAGACACAGAGAUAAAUCCGGGAUUAAAUGGACCACCAUAAUUCAGAAAUUCUGUUGUACUCCUUUUUACUCUUCUCAGAGCCUUGGGCAUAAGAUGCUGAAAAGUAGCUCCGUGAACACCAAAUGUCAUUCAUAUACUGGCUGCAAGGAGGUUUCCUUGUCUUCAAAGGACUUGGCUGACUGGUAGGGGCACAGGCAAACAUAGCAGAAAGUCCUGAUCCAAAUCAACAACAGAAUGAUGUGCUGAAAAAUCUGCUUCUGCACCAGAAAAGGUUGACAACUUCUGUUAGCGAAAGCAAGGUUCUUUGGAUCCUGACGACGAGGGAUGGACAAAUCUGUCAAUUUUUGGUACUGUUUCUCUUUUUCCCAAUCUUAAAUUCAGAUUUCCAGAUUUAUUUUUUUUUGCAGAAGUUUGCUUUUUUAAAAAAUCAAUGUGAAAAUUCUUCAGCAUUUUAGUUCAAAUUUCUCCUAAUAAACACCUUAUUGCAUGCAGUUGUGACAGAUAAAGACAUUUUGCAAGCAAUUUACCCCUAAUACAAUGAUUUCAUAUAUUAUUCUCAGCAAUAUGUGCACUUAUAGGCACACUUUGCCCUAAUAUGUUCAUAUUUGUGUACAUUGCUUGGCUGGACCAAUGUAUGGCAAAGCUGUGAAAAGUGUGGAUUUUGGAAGAUGGCUGUGUUUCAGUUCACAUAUUGUUUUGGAAAGUGUGAAUUAUGUAAGUUUAAAUGUGAACUGAAUCUAAUUUAUCCCCCAUCUCUACAUGCGCUGGCAUAUAUAUCUGCAAACCUGGACGGACAUCACCAGAACAUUAGAAUUACAUGUUUUACAAUAUUAGUCUAGAUUCAAAAGAGCCCCCAUUUUAAGUAUGUUCACUCUAAAGUGACAUAUAUCAAGAUUUUUCUAGAUAAUAAUUACUAUUAUGACAUCUUACAAGCUUAAAAAAUUUAGAUCAUGUUUAGAUGCCUUAGGCUCAUAUUAUAAUACAUUUAUUAGCACUUAAAGUACUACAAGGCACUGAUGUUUUUGCUGCAACACACUAAUAUGGGCUCUUUCAUAAUAUCCAAAAAGUUAUUUCUCCCUCCCCCAUGCAAUAAAUAAAUUCCAUUCCAGAAAAUUUUGCUUGAAAUAGUGCUUAUUAUGCUGAGGUACUGCCCUUUCCCAAGAACUCAUAUAGCAAUGUAUUUCAGAAAACAUAACUCUUUCCCCUUAGUAGGUUAAAUUGCCAUGAAGAAUGUGGUUCUACUUUGGGCUCAGGAAUCCUGUAGGCUUUGUGAAUAUUGUCUAUGACAGUGUACAACUCUACCUCCUGCACAACUACCACAUCUUCUUUUCAGGGCCUUUUUUCAGCUGGAACUCACUGGAACUCAGUUCUGGCACCUCUCAGGUGGGCGCCAUUGCCAUUAUAAGAGAACAAGGAAGGCGUUCAUGGUGAGUUCUGGUACCUCUUUUUCUCGAAAAAUAGCAGAUUUGUUUCUAUAUUUGGCCCACAAAAGCUCCCAUUUUAUUUUAGAAGUUCUGCGGCAUGGGGACAAUGUAGAAGCAGGUGCAAGCAUAGCAGAGAAAAUGAUGAGGAAAGGUAAAUAAUUAGGUAGGAACUAUUCUAAUAGGCUACUUUAGGCUAAUUCAUGUGCUCACACCCACCCAACAAUUUGUGUGUGUGUGUGUAUGUCUUUGAACAGAUCUUGUGUCAUACCACAAUCUGCUUUUACAACUCCUUCAAGCAUUUCUUGCCAUACAGCAAUGCUGCUGUUUUUCAGUAAGCACAGAUCCGAAGAACUCUUGGCACACAGAACUAGCUGGAGUCUUUGGAUUGUAGCCAUUGCCUGGAAAGAUCUUUGGGAUCCAGUCCUAUAAAUUUAUUCAUAUAGACACACACACUUAUUGAAAACAUAAAUGAACUGUGAAUGUCUCUGUAAAUAUUGUAUACCUAUGAUAUUGCAUAUCUAUGGCCAGUUGUAUAAAAUUCCUCCCUACUCCAGA